GGCUUCUGGUGCAGAAAGUCUACCCGUCUCACUUGUUAAUGAUGUUGAUGACGAGAAGGGCCCUGCAUAUUUCACAUAUUAUGCUGGUCUCAAAUAUUUAAAACCAGUAUACUCGAUGGAACCUUCAGCUGGCUGUAACUGUGUUGGUGGGUGCCUUCCAGGCAAUAUCAAUUGCCUUUGCAUGCAGAAAAACGGUGGAUAUCUCCCCUAUAGUUCAAACGGGGUUCUUGCUAGUCAACAGUCUAUGAUAUAUGAAUGUGGAGCCUCAUGUCAAUGCCCUCCCAAUUGCAGGAAUCGUGUGUCCCAAGGAGGUCUCAAAUUCCGCCUGGAGGUAUUCAGAACUAAAGGUAAAGGCUGGGGGCUAAGGUCUUGGGAUCCCAUUCGUGCUGGAGCAUUUAUCUGCCAAUAUGCUGGCGAAGUCAUCGAUAGUUCAAAGGCUAAGGACUCUGUUCGGGACAAUGAAGAUGGUUAUAUCUUUGAUGCCUCGCAUUCUUAUCCAAACCUUGAGGUCAUGUCUGGUGAUUCUGAUGGGCCUCCAAGACUCCCGUUUCCCCUAGUUAUUAGUGCAAAAAAUGCUGGCAAUGUAGCUCGUUUUAUGAACCAUAGUUGCUCUCCAAAUGUAUAUUGGAAGCCAAUUAUACGGGAAAAUAAGGGCGAGCAUGAUGUCCAUAUUGCCUUUCAUGCAGUCAGGCAUAUACCUCCCAUGACGGAGUUGACAUAUGAUUAUGGAAUAAUCCCACCUGAGAGUGCUGAUGGAAGGAAGAUCAACUGCCUAUGUGGGUCUUUAAAAU
rnacentral:misc_RNA from 1 species